rnacentral:rRNA from 1 species
AUACGGAGGGUCCAAGCGUUAUCCGGAUUCAUUGGGUUUAAAGGGUCCGCAGGCGGGAAAAUAAGUCAGUGGUGAAAGCCUACAGCUCAACUGUAGAACUGCCAUUGAUACUGUUUUUCUUGAGUAUAGAUGAAGUGGGCGGAAUAUAUCAUGUAGCGGUGAAAUGCAUAGAUAUGAUAUAGAACACCGAUUGCGAAGGCAGCUCACUAAACUAUUACUGACGCUCAGGGACGAAAGCGUGCGGAGCGAACAGGAUUAGAAACCCUAGUAGUCC